GAGAGUUCUCUGCAUGAAAGACCCACACCUGGCAGAUCAGAUGCUAAUACAUUACUCACUGAUACAGUAGGAAAUUGAAUAUGGAGGAUUUUAACUGUGACAAGAUGACUGACAGGGCAGUUUAAAUGGUGACAGGAUGCAUGUAACUUGAGUCUUUACUUGUGUGCAGUGUUGAGGACACUCCUAAAACAGGGUUGGGAACCAUUGUUACUGAAUAUUAGCCUGUAGCAGUGAAUGGGCAACUCUGGCCCUAUAGAGAUCCACUUUCCUGCAGAGUUUUGCUCCAACCCUAAUCAAACACAACUGAACAAGCUAAUCAAGGUGAGAUCCACUUUGCUUACAACUUUCUAGUAGGACCUGAAGACGUUGAUUAGCUUGUUCAGUUGUUUGAUUAGAGUUGGAGCAAAACUCUGCAGGACAGUGGAUCUCUAUAGGACCAGAGUUGCCCAAGCCUGGCCUAGAGGGUAUGUUUAUCUGUUUGGUUGAGGUUUCAUCAUGAUAGGGAAAAUGAAAUGUGUAGUAUAGACAACACACUCUCAUAGGAAUUCAUAACUAUUUUACGUUUGGUGGUUAAUUCGUAUGAAUCCAUAUGAUCUCAUUUGUAUGUUUCCGUACGAUCUGCUUACACCCCACUUACUGGUAGGUUUAAGGGUGGUCCUUCGUAAAAACAAAAACAAACUUUGGUUCCGUACAAAUCAUGUUGUAGGAAUUCAUGCAAAAUCACCACCUCAUAAAAUAGUUAAAUUUUCUCAUGAGAUUGGGUUGGUAUACGCUUUAGUUUUUACUGUAAAUGAAACAAAAUUAUUGUCUUUUUUUCUGUUAUGUAAAAUUUUUCUAAAUUAGGCUGGGCAAUAAAGGGGCUGGUCAACAGCUGACAUCCUAUGCAAUAUAAUUUUGAGGUGCAAUAAAUAACCAAAUUCUGUGUGUUGAAUAUCAGCUAGUUAUUGUUUAAAGAUGCAAUUGUUAAUAGAUAAAUUGUGAUAACAUAAAACAUUGAUAUGGUCGUGCCUUGAGCUCCUCAGAGGGUGAUAAUAUACUGUAUGCUUCUGUAGUCAGUUUGAUUUCAACAUUUUUGUAAAAUAGUAGAAUUCCCACUCAAGAACUACACUACCCACAAUCCCAAAUCCCACUUCGAUAAAGCAUUGUAAUAUUAUCAGAUUUAAUUCUCUGGUGUGUGUUGUUGUAAGAUAUGAAGUGCUCUUGGAUUUUGAAUUUUAUACGCAAUGGUUUGAUAUCAAAUUUGGCAUCUCCGUU